rnacentral:rRNA from 1 species
UACAGGGGGGGCAAGCGUUGUUCGGAAUUACUGGGCGUAAAGGGCUCGUAGGCGGCCAACUAAGUCCGACGUGAAAUCCCCAGGCUUAACCUGGGAACUGCGUCGGAUACUGGAUGGCUUGAAUUCGGGAGAGGGAUGCAGAAUUCCAGGUGUAGCGGUGAAAUGCGUAGAUAUCUGGAGGAAUACCGGUGGCGAAGGCGGCCUUCUGGACAGUGACUGACGCUGAGACGCGAAAGCGUGGGGAGCAAACAGG